UGCGUAGGUGGUUUCUUAAGUCAGAGGUGAAAGGCUACGGCUCAACCGUAGUAAGCCUUUGAAACUGGGAAACUUGAGUGCAGGAGAGGAGAGUGGAAUUCCUAGUGUAGCGGUGAAAUGCGUAGAUAUUAGGAGGAACACCAGUUGCGAAGGCGGCUCUCUGGACUGUAACUGACACUGAGGCACGAAAGCGUAGGGAGCAAACA
rnacentral:rRNA from 1 species